AGCAGAGAUCCCCUUAUGCAUUCUUCUCCUUGAUGAGAAUACAGGAAACUCUGUCCUUUAAUUAAACUUUAUUUGAUUUGGUCAUUGACAAUUAUAAUGUGGGGUCUCAUAGUGGUGACUUCUCAGUUGGACCCUUCGACCAUUGACCACUCCAAGGAUGUCAGUGAAAAGGCACAAUCAACAAAUGGCAGGUACAGAAACUGAAUGUGAAAAUAUCAUUUUCACAUUACAGUCCCCAAGGCAGAGGUUACAUUUGCGUCCACUCGAUAUAUACUUGUCAAACACGAGGGGGCGAUAUUGAUUACAGGGUGUAACCUAGCUGUAUUUUCAGACGACAGAACAAAAUAUGUAGUUAUUGAGCAUUUUGGCUUAAAUGACGUAGCAUCGCUAAUAAAUAUCUGCCCUUAAAUUCGAAUAUCAAACCACAUCGGGCCUACUGCGAUGCAUACCCCCCCGCCCCACGGCUGCGACGUUGCACUGUUGUCCCGCCCUUCUUUUUCUUCGAGACUAUUUCAAAGUAAUAAUGUCGAAACAAAAAUGCAAUGGCUUUCGAUCGUCAAACAGAAACGCCAGUGUGUGUACCAGUCAAAUUUGGACGAUUUUUCGAGGAAAUCUGUUUCACGGCAACCUAUUUUUUAUCUGAGGCGUUUGAAAGAUGGGUCCGUAUCAGAGCGAUGAUCUUCUUUCACUGAAUCGCCAGGACAAACUGCAGCAAUCCACAUUGUAACAAUGGUUAAUUUUAAACCUGAGGAUGGGAUGUCGACGUGUUACAUGGAGGAAAGCACCGGACAUGAUUUUACCCCUGGACUAUAAAUACGAUCAACGUGAGUUUUGCAAAAUACUCUCAUAAUGGUACGUAAUGCAUAUUUGCAUAGGCCUAUACAAAUUAGCCUCAAUCUGAUGCACAACAAAGCAAAUCGGGUUAUUUUAGCGACCUGGCAGAAGCCAUGCUUAUGCUUUGGUUAAAUAACAAAGUAUAAGCAAAAUAAAACAGUUUGUGAAAGGUUUUCAAAAUACUGUAAAAUGGUUGAAAGUCCACCACAGUAGUAGGAAAUAUGGGCUACUUACUCUGCCCCCGCUGUGCUAGGCCUUUCGAAUGUUUUAGAUGUUUUUUAGAUGUUUUUGAUUUAGUAAAGUAAAUAUAGGGUUAGGGCUAUUUCCUCUAUUAAAAAAUAUAGAUCAAGUAAAUCAUCUCACUUUUAUAAGUGGUAGAGUCCACACAAUAACAGUUAUCAAAUGAUAUUGGUCCAUGAACUGGCAGUUAUGGCAAUGUCUGCUUUUGAAAUGUUAACCAAAAGGAUUCGUUAACUCAUACAUUCUUUAUUUAAUUAAUUCGUUAUAGGCUAUGGCCUGUUAUUUCGAAGCAUUAAUUGCGCAAAGUAGUCCACUGGUAAUAUCCUCUAUCAAAAUACAUAAAUAAUAGUCCUAGUAUUUAGUUCAUGCUUCAGAUUCAAGCAUGAACAAGAAAAUGAUUGUAACCAUAUUUCAUCAUAUAUCGAUAGGAUCUCAUAUUGAGUUUAACAAGAAUAUUAUUGAAUAAUGAAGUCCAACCUGCAAUAGGCCCACAAAAAUUGGGCCUAUUGCAGAAAAUACAUUUUUGAGAGGCUAGUAUAGUGAGA